rnacentral:rRNA from 1 species
CUACGGGCUGCUCCAGUGAGGAAUAUUGCACAAUGGGGGGAACCCUGAUGCAGCAACGCCGCGUGGAGGAUGACGCAUUUCGGUGUGUAAACUCCUUUUAUAUGUCAAGAAAAUGACGGUAGCAUAUGAAUAAGCACCGGCUAACUCCGUGCCAGCAGCCGCGGUAAUACGGAGGGUGCAAGCGUUACUCGGAAUCACUGGGCGUAAAGGGCGCGUAGGCGGGUUGGAAAGUCAGGUGUGAAAUCCUACAGCUUAACUGUAGAACUGCACUUGAAACUUCUAAUCUAGAGUAUGGGAGGGGGAGAUGGAAUUAGUGGUGUAGGGGUAAAAUCCGUAGAUAUCACUAGGAAUACCUAAAGCGAAGGCGAUUUCCUGGAACAUUAUUGACGCUAAGGCGUGAAAGCGUGGGGAGCAAACAGGAUUAGAUACCCCCGUAGUC